ACGAACGCUGGCGGCGUGCUUAACACAUGCAAGUCGAACGGGCAUUUAAGCUUCGGUUUAAAUGUUAGUGGCGGACGGGUGAGUAACGCGUGGGCAACCUGCCUUUACCAGGGGGAUAACUGUGAGAAAUCAUAGCUAAUACCGCAUAAGACCACGAAGGGGCAUCCCUUUGAGGUAAAAGAUUUAUCGGGUAAAGAUGGGCUCGCGUCCUAUUAGCUAGUUGGUGGGGUAACGGCCUACCAAGGCGACGAUAGGUAGCCGACUUGAGAGGGUGAUCGGCCACAUUGGAACUGAGACACGGUCCAAACUCCUACGGGAGGCAGCAGUGGGGAAUAUUGGGCAAUGGGCGCAAGCCUGACCCAGCAACGCCGCGUGAAUGAAGAAGGUCUUCGGAUUGUAAAGUUCUGUGACUGGGGACGAAAAAAAUGACGGUACCCAGAGAGGAAGCUCCGGCAAACUACGUGCCAGCAGCCGCGGUAAUACGUAGGGAGCAAGCGUUGUCCGGAAUGACUGGGCGUAAAGGGUGCGUAGGCGGUUUCGUAAGUUAGAAGUGUAAUCCCGGGGCUUAACCCCGGAGCUACUUCUAAGACUGCGGGACUUGAGUGUGGGAGAGGUAAGUGGAAUUCCUAGUGUAGCGGUGGAAUGCGUAGAUAUUAGGAGGAACACCAGUGGCGAAGGCGGCUUACUGGACCAUAACUGACGCUGAGGCACGAAAGCGUGGGGAGCAAACAGGAUUAGAUACCCUGGUAGUCCACGCCGUAAACGAUGGAUACUAGGUGUAGGGGGUAUCGACUCCCUCUGUGCCGACGUAAACACAAUAAGUAUCCCGCCUGGGGAGUACGGCCGCAAGGUUGAAACUCAAAGGAAUUGACGGGGACCCGCACAAGCAGCGGAGCAUGUGGUUUAAUUCGAAGCAACGCGAAGAACCUUACCAAGGUUUGACAUCCCCUGACCGGUGUAGAGAUACACUUUUUUGUAGCAAUACAGACAGGGAGACAGGUGGUGCAUGGUUGUCGUCAGCUCGUGUCGUGAGAUGUUGGGUUAAGUCCCGCAACGAGCGCAACCCUUAUGAAUAGUUGCCAAUAUUAAGUUAGGAACUCUAUUCAGACUGCCGUGGAGAACACGGAGGAAGGUGGGGAUGACGUCAAAUCAUCACGCCCCUUACAUCUUGGGCUACACACGUGCUACAAUGGCUGUAACAAAGAGCAGCAAAACCGUAAGGUCAAGCGAAUCUCAGAAAAACAGUCUCAGUUCAGAUUGUGGGCUGCAACCCGCCCACAUGAAGUCGGAGUUGCUAGUAAUCGCGGAUCAGCACGUCGCGGUGAAUGCGUUCCCGGGUCUUGUACACACCGCCCGUCACGCCAUGGGAGUUGGGAAUACCCGAAGUCAGUGACCUAACCGCAAGGAAGGAGCUGCCGAAGGUAAAACCAAUGACUGGGGUG
rnacentral:rRNA from 1 species